UACAUGGGGUGCAAACGUUGCUCGGAAUUAUUGGGCGUAAAGCGCACGUAGGCGGUCGCUUAAGUCGGAUGUGAAAGCCCCCGGCUCAACUGGGGAAGUGCAUCCGAAACUGAGUGGCUCGAGUACGGAAGAGGGUCGCGGAAUUCCCGGUGUAGAGGUGAAAUUCGUAGAUAUCGGGAGGAACACCGGUGGCGAAGGCGGCGACCUGGGCCGAUACUGACGCUGAGGUGCGAAAGCGUGGGGAGCAAAC
rnacentral:rRNA from 1 species